rnacentral:rRNA from 1 species
GACGGUAACCAAUCCCAUGGGUGGGUAUAGCCGCGGGAAACUGCGGGUAAUCCCCAGCGAAGCAAAGCGAUCGGCAUCGAUCGUUUGCCAAAGCUCCGGCGCCGUGGGACGGGCCGUCGUGGUAUUAGGUAGUUGGGGGGGUAACGGCCCACCAAGCCUACGAUGCCUACCGGGCGUGCGAGCGUGGCCCGGCACACUGGGACUGAGACACUGCCCAGACUCCUACGGGAGGCUGCAGUCGAGAAUCUUCGGCAAUGGGCGCAAGCCUGACCGAGCGACGCCGCGUGGAGGACGAAGGCCUUCGGGUUGUAAACUCCUGUCGAGGGGAAAGAAGGCCCGCAAGGGCUUGACUGAUCCCUGGAGGAAGCACGGGCUAAGUUCGUGCCAGCAGCCGCGGUAAGACGAACCGUGCGAACGUUAUUCGGAAUCACUGGGCUUAAAGCGCGUGUAGGCGGGAGGGCACGUCCGUCGCUGAAAUCCCCCGGCUCAACCGGGGAAGUGGCGCGGAUACGACCUUCCUG